ensembl:lncRNA
CCUCGAGGAGGGCUGGCAGCAGCCCCGUGUUCCGGUGUCUCCUCCUGUCCCGCUGCUGCGGGUGUCCCACGGUGCACGCAGGACGUGGGAGGUGCCCGGGGCCGCCUCUCUGCAGAACCUUAAAGCCCGGCGCGGCGCCGGGCGGGCAGGGUGCUGGCAGCAUGCAGGCGGGUGGUUGGCUCCUGCUGGGGCUGCUGGCCCUCGGUGCACCGCUGCACGCAGCGCCCGCUGCAGGACGGUGUAGCCCAGGGCUGCACGGAGCAGCAACCAUCCUCCCUGUGACCCAACCGCAGGCGGUGGUGCCAGCAGAUGCCCGGUGCCGGCAGCGGAACGGCACCCAGAGCCCAUCUGUGCAGCAGCAGCUGGGGGCAGAGCGGGGCGGUGCGGAGCAGCACCUGCAUGGGGAGCGGCCGGCGGUGAGACCUGUGCCUGAGAAUGGAGCGGGGAGCAGGGAGAAGCCUCCAGCGGGCAGCACGCCUGCACUGAGGGAAAAGCAGGAGAUCGCAAAGAAACCCAGCGUGGGGAAGAAGCCAGAGUUGAUGACGACGGUGGAAAUGGGAAUGACUAUGGAGAUGCCGAUGGAUACGGUGACGGUGAUGACUGAAGAUUACAGUGGUGGAGAUGGCAGCGAUGCUGGCGCGAUGAUGCUUGGUGACCAGCACUGUGGGGCGUGUGCAGGGCACAAGGUGCAAUGACAGCCCAUGGCAGGUGGGCACACGGAGCUGCCCCCAGCCUCCCCUCGCCUCACUCUGCCAGGGCCAGUCCUGGACACCAGCGCUGUUUUGGGCAGGACCUUCUAUUUCCUAAUAAAUCCCACAGUGGGCCACUUGCUCAACACAACAA